rnacentral:SRP_RNA from 1 species
UCUGACAAGCAUUGUGGUGGUUGGACUCAGGUGGCUGGGGCAAGAGGGUCCACUGAGCCUAAGAGUUCUGGCAUUUGUGAGUGCUCUAUUUCCACCGGGUACCACACUAAGUUCAGCCUCAAAAUGGUAACCUCUCUGGAGCAGGGGCCUACCAGGUUGCCUAAGGAAGGGUAAAAUGGCCCAGGUCAGCAAUGCAGCAGGUCAAAACCCCAGGCUGGUCGGUGGUAGGACUGUGCCUGUGCAUAGCCACUUUACUCCAGCCUGAAUUUAAAACAACGGCAUGAGGAAACUUUU